GGCAAUGUGGCUGAAGUGAAAAUAGCGCACCCUUCAUAAGGGUGAACAUAGAAGUUUGAUCCUUCUCGUUGCCACCA
rnacentral:tRNA from 1 species